AUGGGAAACGGCAAGUCUGUGCUCCCAGGAGGAGGUGGGGGCAGCCCGCAGCCCGAGGAACCACCUAACAAUACGGCCGAAAACCCUAUACUUUCCAAAUCUGAAUCUAGUGCUGGCGAGGGUUUAGAUAGAAGGCAGACAGUAGCGGAAUCUGAUUCCAAAGGGAGGCCGUCAAACUGGGACUCUCUUGAUAGCAAAGAGAUGAUCAUUCUGAAGUUGCUUUUAAACAAGGCGGGUCGCUGGAUCGGAGACGCCGAAAGCGAAGUUUCUGACCAGCGGCUCCAGGGAGGUGUCGGGAUACCAUCAGAAGCAGAUCCAUCCCCAAGUCAGGAGAAGGGCAAAGGCGAAGAAAAGAUCUCAGAAAUCUAUCCAUAGAAGAAUCAUCAAGCAUGCCCAGAGAGCAGAGAAAGCAGAUGUCUGUCCAGCACCAGCACCAACCACAGCACCAGCACCAACCACAGUACAACAAGGACAAACAAGGCACGGCCACUGAUUUAAGAACAGUUCUAAUGAACUAUCCACACAUGAACUUUCACUAAGACAGUUUACCUGCAAAAGACUAUUAUUAAUUUACUUACAAUCAUUUUCUAAAUAUCUAUGCAUAUUUGUAAUGAGAUUGACUCUUCAUGUACCUAAAAAUUUCAAAUUGUAUUGUACAAAAUGCAAUUAUUUUGAUGAAAUUGUUCCAUGUUACUCAAAUUUGAUCAAAAAAGUUUUAUAAUUGGAAAUGUCAUAACAGUACAUUGGAUACUGUUCAUUUGCAACAGAAAUUGUUCAUGUUGUCCAAAAUAUAUAUGUGCUAAUUCUCUUAAACUGUUUAUUCAAUAUGCAAAAAAGUAUAUUUACUAGAAUUAGGCUUGUAUAUAAACUAUUUGGCUUGAAAUUGCAAUUUAGUAAAAUAUUUUAAUUGAAAAGAAUAUAAUAGUUCUACAUAUAUAUAAAAUGUUUUAGUUUGGGGAAUAUUGAUAUUGUUGUACUAUUGUUUGUUGAAAAGUUUUUUACCUGGUGAAAAAAAUUUUGGUCAAGUUAAAAUAAGGAAAUGGAUCUCAUUUUUUUAGUGAGAAAUAUUUGUUUCACCUGAUUUUUAAAUUAAUUUUGUUUUUAUUUACAAUAGGACAUUUGAUUUUUAUCUUUUUCUUUUCUCUCCUUUUUUCAUUUUAUUUUUUCCUAUUUUCCCCCCUAUAUUUUUAGUCCUGAAGUGUACAUUAAGAUUUUUAUUUUGUAGGCUAAGCUCAUUACAUAUAUUUUGACCCUAUAGGCUUACCCAAAAGCUUGAGACUGUAGGAACCUGCAAGCAUUUGUUAAAUAUAAUGGGACUGGUACGAAUUAUUAUGUCUGAUUUCAGAAGCAGGUAUUGGAAUAGAGCCAUUAUACUUUGCCAGAAAGCCUAAGAUCCUAAAGAGAUCUGAAAUCCCUAUGAGAUGGUUGCAUAUCCUUGCUUAAGGUCUGGUUGGAGGUAAAAGGGCGCGGUGUUUUGACACCUUCAAACACAGGACAGCCUGGUACCAAAGUUCCAACAAAAUCUCUGGCUGGCAUCUUGGCUCCACCAACCCUGGAAUUCAACUUAAAAGAUCAGACAAGGGAAUAAGACUUCCCUUCUUUAGCUUUAAAGUCUUGACAACUUCCUACAGCCUUGACUACCAAUGGGUAAAAUGCCAUACUGUUAAAAAUGUCCCAUAGGCUUGUGGAACAUAUAUUUCAGAUUAAUUCAGGCCUACUGAUGAUUAUAACACAUUUGUCAGACCUAAAAAUUUUUUUUUUCUAUUUUAGUUUAGAAUCUUUUAAUCACAAGAUUUCAUUUUAUAUUUUUAUUUUAUUCUAAACACAUUGUUUUCCUGCAGUAACUAACCUUUGGGAUUUUUUCCCCUUUUCUCUUUUUUGAUUUUAAAAAUUUUUAGUUUUCUUUUUAAGUUACUCUAAUCAUUAUUUUUUCUUUUAUAAAAAGGGGGAUAUGUAGGAGUCCAGGCUAAUCUUGAUAAUAUUUUAGGGGUGCUCAAAGCUGGCUCUUAGGAUAUUUCUUAUGAGUGUUUUUGUAACCUUUAAGUUAAAUUAAACCUCCACCAUGAAUGUUAAACUGCUAGCCCUUCCCUGAGGCCAGUUAUCUCAGUCUCCUUGUUUUGCCAAUAACAAUCAAUACAGGUUACUGUAUCAAACUGACUUAGAUGCCUUGGGCCAUAGGAUCUGGGCAUUGGCUCUACCUAUUGUCUUAGCAUCCAGCAGUUUUUUGUAUCUUGGCAUGAUUGCCUCAGAAUGUUUGUUAACCACUUGUCUAAUGAUCCUUCUCCCUUCCCCUAUACUGUUGUAACCCCAAUAAAAGCCCUAGUAUGCCUGCUCUAUUCCA
ensembl:lncRNA